CAGCCCUUGACAUGUCCGGCUACUUGCAGAGAUGCAAGGUUCCCUUCGGGGACCGGAACACAGGUGCUGCAUGGCUGUCGUCAGCUCGUGUCGUGAGAUGUUGGGUUAAGUCCCGCAACGAGCGCAACCCUCGCCCUAGUUGCCAGCAUUUAGUUGGGCACUCUAAGGGGACUGCCGGUGAUAAGCCGAGAGGAAGGUGGGGAUGACGUCAAGUCCUCAUGGCCCUUACGGGCUGGGCUACACACGUGCUACAAUGGUGGUGACAGUGGGCAGCGAGACAGCGAUGUCGAGCUAAUCUCCAAAAGCCAUCUCAGUUCGGAUUGCACUCUGCAACUCGAGUGCAUGAAGUUGAAAUCGCUAGUAAUCGCGGAUCAGCAUGCCGCGGUGAAUACGUUCCC
rnacentral:rRNA from 1 species